UUUCAUAAGAUUUUAAGUCGUUGAAUUCAAUGAGGGAUGAUUAAAAGAAUUAUAUCCUAAAUGAUGAAAAAAAAAACAUACAAAUUAUUUCAAGUACUGAUUACAUUCUCCUUUAAGAAGGGAAGGAAUCAUUUAUUUAAAAUAACUAUCUUUGGGUUGCUAGUCUUCAUCUUCGCUUAUCCAAACAUUUUGAAUCCUGCGAAGCUUAGAUGGUGGAGCUUCAUCAUCUGAAGAUAUACAUGAAUCAAGCUCAAAUUCUUGGUCAAAAUCUAGCUCAAGGUCUAGUUUGAACCUGGCACUAGCUUGAGAUUUGGUCCUGGUAUAUACUCUGUCUCUUCCUCCGGUUUUCCUCGGUCUCGAGUUCAAGCUCUAGAAUGGCAAUCCACCUAUCCAGAAAAGUUCCACAAUAUUGCUUGAACUUGAUCUUUUUCUGGGUGCUUAGGAGGGUUAGCCUCCAACAUCUCGUCCUUAACCACAGUGCUCAUGUCUUACCAUCAAGUUGGCAGUGUACGGAUAAAGUUGCUAACAGCCUGAAUGGGGGUAACCUAUUGUCCUACACCUCUUGCAUAGUCCACUUAGUGAAGACUUCCUCCACAAGCACAAUAAGUGUAUGAGUCGGGUUUGUUUCAUAAUUCUCGUAAGCUUGGAUAACUACUGCCCUAUGGUUUAGAACAGCCCUACAAGUCGUUGCCUUCCUAGCCUUCUUUCUAGUUCUAUCCAUAUCCAUCACAUAUAUGCCGAGUCCAAUUACACUUAAUAUUUUACUAGUGAUAGCGCAUUGCCUAUUAUGCUCUCAUAAAUCAUUAUAUGGAUAAAAUAAAAAUAUUAUACUUUUAUCGAAAGUUGAUUAAAAUCACGUGAGAAAACAAUUCAUAAAUGGAAGCAAAUAUAUUUAAUCUCAUGCUCAUAAUUUAUACUAGAACAUAACAUUCCAUUGCAUUUCAAACAUUUAUUGAAUUUAUACCUCAUGAUCAAAUCUAAAAUGUAACAUUUCAUGGGAUACCUUUGGUCCGUCUGAUCGUAGUUGAUUUGGUGUGCUAAGUGCCAAGAACCUUGUUAUAAUUCUUGUUUGUUAAAUAAAAUGUUUAUAGUAGUAUCUUAUCAUAUAGUUUAAUAGCCCAUUUAUUUAUUUAUUCUCCAUCGACUUUCGUCUUAUUGAUUUGAAUAAUGCGCAACUAAAAUGCUUUCAAGAGAUGAAGAUGUCAUCAUUGGACAACUUAAAUCUCAAGCUCUCCUAAACAUUUUAGGUCUUUUUGACAAAGUUUUUCAAUCUUAUAAAGGUCUUUUUGACAGUUUUUCAAUCUUAUAAAUAAGCAAAUCAAAAAAACUCAAACAAUGAGUGAAAUUUGUGUUUACUAAAAAUAAAUUUUAUUGUUGUCCAUUUUAAAAUAUGCCAAUAGUGAUAAUGAGGUCUUGAAUUAUACCUAUUCUUUAAUACUACCAACUGAGCAAUUGAAAAACGUAUAAAUGGGAUAGAAUGGGUUUGAUAAACAAAUUAACAUAUUUUAUGAAAUGAUGGUGACAGUUUGCUAACUAACAAAAGUAUGUUAACAGUUCAAAAAUAAAUUAAAAAAUUUGAUCAAUUAUUACACCUUUUAAUUUCAAUUCAAAAUGGAAAAGUAAAUAUCUAAUA
rnacentral:lncRNA from 1 species